rnacentral:rRNA from 1 species
CCGACGGUGAGGGAUGAAAGCUGGGGGAGCAAACCGGAUUAGAUACCCGGGUAGUCCCAGCUGUAAACUAUGCAAACUCAGUGAUGCAUUGGCUUGUGGCCAAUGCAGUGCUGCAGGGAAGCCGUUAAGUUUGCCGCCUGGGAAGUACGUACGCAAGUAUGAAACUUAAAGGAAUUGGCGGGGGAGCACUGCAACGGGAGGAGCGUGCGGUUUAAUUGGAGUCAACGCCAGAAAUCUUACCCGGAGAGACAGCAGAAUGAAGGUCAAGCUGAAGACUUUACCAGACAAGCUGAGAGGUGGUGCAUGGCCGUCGCCAGCUCGUGCCGUGAGAUGUCCUGUUAAGUCAGGUAACGAGCGAGAUCCCUGCCCUUAGUUGCCACUAUUACUCUCAGGAGUAGUGGGGCGAAUUAGCGGGACCGCCGCAGUUAAUGCGGAGGAAGGAAGGGGCCACGGCAGGUCAGUAUGCCCCGAAACUCUGGGGCCACACGCGGGCUGCAAUGGUAACGACAAUUGGUUUCGAAUCCGAAAGGAUGAGGUAAUCCUCAAACGUUACCACAGUUAUGACUGAGGGCUGCAACUCGCCCUCACGAAUAUGGAAUCCCUAGUAACUGCGUGUCAUUAUCGCGCGGUGAAUACGUCCCUGCUCCUUGCACACACCGCCCGU